rnacentral:rRNA from 1 species
AGAAUGACUCUCGGCAACGGAUAUCUAGGCUCUUGCAUCGAUGAAGAACGUAGCGAAAUGCGAUACUUGGUGUGAAUUGCAGAAUCCCGUGAACCAUCGAGUCUUUGAACGCAAGUUGCGCCCGAAGCCAUCAGGUUGAGGGCACGUCUGCCUGGGCGUCACACA